ACGGAGGGUGCGAGCGUUGUCCGGAAUUACUGGGCGUAAAGCACGUGUAGGCGGUCUGUUAUGUCGGAUGUGAAAUCCCAAGGCUCAACCUUGGAACUGCGUUCGAAACUGGCAGACUUGAGUGCGGGAGGGGAUGGUGGAAUUCCCGGUGUAGAGGUGAAAUUCGUAGAUAUCGGGAAGAAUACCGGUGGCGAAGGCGACCAUCUGGCCCGCUACUGACGCUCAGACGUGAAAGCGUGGGGAGCAAACAGAAUUAGAUACUCUGGUAGUCCACGCUGUAAACGAUGGAUACUAGGUGUUGGGGGUAACAAUUCCCUCAGUGCCGUAGCUAACGCGUUAAGUAUCCCGCCUGGGAAGUACGGCCGCAAGGCUA
rnacentral:rRNA from 1 species